rnacentral:rRNA from 1 species
AUUGAACGCUGGCGGCAGGCCUAACACAUGCAAGUCGAGCGGAUGAAGGGAGCUUGCUCCUGGAUUCAGCGGCGGACGGGUGAGUAAUGCCUAGGAAUCUGCCUGGUAGUGGGGGAUAACGUCCGGAAACGGGCGCUAAUACCGCAUACGUCCUGAGGGAGAAAGUGGGGGAUCUUCGGACCUCACGCUAUCAGAUGAGCCUAGGUCGGAUUAGCUAGUUGGUGGGGUAAAGGCCUACCAAGGCGACGAUCCGUAACUGGUCUGAGAGGAUGAUCAGUCAACCUGGGACCUGGACACGGUCCAGACCUCUACGGGAGGCAGCAGGGGGGGAUAUUUGGCCAUGGGCGGAAGCCUGAUCCAGCCAUGCCGCGUGUGGUGAGAAGGUCCUCGGAUUUUAAAGCACUUUAAGUUGGGAGGAAGGGCAGUAAGUUAAUACCUUGCUGUUUUGACGUUACCAACAGAAUAAGCACCGGCUAACUUCGUGC